UUGAUGUUUCUUGUUCUUGGAGUUUAUUGAGCUUCUUGGAUCUAUGGAUUUAUAGUUUUCAUCAAAUCUAGAACAUUUAGGAUGUUAUUUCUUCAAAUAUUUUUCUGUGUAUUCUUUUCUUCAGGAACUUCAAUUGCAUGUAUAUUAGGCUGUUUGAAGUUGUUCCAUGGUUUACUGGGUUCCUUUUAUUUUUUUUAAAUGAUUUUUCCUUUGUGUGUUUUAUUUUGGAUAGUUUCUAUUGCUGUGUCUUUAAGUUCACUAAUAUUUUCUCCUGCAGUGACUAAUCUGCUGUUAAUCUCAUCAAGUAUAUUUUUUAUUUCAAACAUUAUAGUUUUCAUCUCUAAAAAUUCAAUUUGGGUCUAUAAAAAUAUACUUUCCAUGUGUCUAGUUAACUUUUAAAAAAUAUAGAAUGUUUUCAAAAUAUUAUAAUAAUAUAAUACAAUAUGCUAAAAUAUAGUAACAAUGUCCUUCUUUGCUUGUUCUGAUAUUCAUGUUAGUUCUAGAUUGGCUAUGACUGAUUUUUUGCCUCACUAUGGGUUAUGUUUUCCUGCUCUUUUUUAUGCCUAUUAGUCUCUUAUUGGAUAACAUGCAUUAUGAAUUUUACCUUGUUGGUUGCUAGCUAUUUCAGUAUUCCUAAAAAUGUUCUUGAGCUUUGUUUAAAAAAGCAGUGAAAUUAUUUGAAAACAGUCUAUUUUUUGUGUCUUGCUUUGAAGAUGAGUUGUACAGAACCAUAGCUGUUUAUAGUGUUAGGCUAGUUAUCCCUCACUAUGAAGGCAAACCUCUGAGUACUCUACUGAAUGCCCUGUGGAGCUUGAGGCUUUACAAUCUGGCUGGGAGGAACAGGCACUAUUACUGGCUUUCAGAACCUGAAGCUGUUACCUCAACUGCCCUUGAAUGCUUAUUCCCCUGGCCUUGGAUAAUGCAUGUACUGCUCAGUGCUUUGCCAAAUACUCUGGGGGGGGACUCAUCAGAUAGCUCCAGAGUUCUCUGUGUAGCUGUAUACUCUUUGGAAUCUGCCCUGCACACUGCAGACACCUUAGUAUCUACAAAGUUCUGUCUCUCAACUCAAAUUUGGCAGACCUCUGCCUUGCUUCCCUCUCCCUCCCUGCCCUACAGCCUGGACUCUCCAGACAGCGAGACAGGGCAGCUGUAGGCUCACUUGUUUGUUUUUUGUCUCACAGGGAUUUUGUUUUUUUGCCUGAUGUCCAUUGGCCUGAAAACUGUUGUUUCAUAAUUUUUUUUCCGGCUUUUGGUCAUGUCAGGUGAGAGGGUAAAUCCACACCCUGUCAUUCAAGCGUGCUAGAAGUGUUGCCUUUUAAAUAUAUUAUUUUUUUCUUUUAAAGCCCACAUGAAAGGAGCCUUCCUCUGUAACAACAACCAACAGCUUGACAAUGUGUGUUCCCAUUAUCCUGUGAAUGCUCUACUUUUCAAAGUAAGCCUGCGAGAAUCUUGUUCCAUCGCCCAGGUUGGAGUGCAGUUGCGCGAUCUCGGCUCAUUGCAACUGCUGCCUCUUGGGUUCAAGCGAUCCUCAGCCUCCUGAAUAGCUGGGACUACAGACAUGCACCACUACAUGUCACAUGCUGCAUAUGGGACUCAUUCUCAUCCCUCAGCUCCAGGCCUGGUGAAUCUAUAUCAUCUUUCACCUAGGCCUCAGUAAUUAGCCUGAGGAUGGUUGCAUGACCCAGUCCAGACUCACAGCUAAUCCCUGCGUUUUUGCUGGAGCUGCUCUCCAUGGACGGUUGAAUCAACAGGAUAUAAGUCUCGAACUACUGGGGGCUGUCUCAGUAUUUCCAGGUGGAGAAUGCAGCUAACACAGGGGAAAGCAGAGCAGAAAUAUGGAGUGAGCCAGAUGAUGCUUGAUGAUGUUCGAGUACCUGGAUCCAGCCAUGCCUGAAGUUGAAGCUUUUAGUCACAUGAAUCAGUAAGUUUCCUUUUUGUUUAUGCCAGCUUUGACUGAUUUUCUGUCACUAUCAACUAAAACUACCCUGGCUUAUACAUACGGUUUUCUGCUUUUUCUCACCAAGGGACAGGAAUUAUUUUUCUGUUUUUACUGAUAAGGAAAUGGAGGUUCAAUCCAUUUGUAAUCGGAUGCUUCAAGUCUCGCCAGAUUUAAGGCUUGGUGACCUCCCUUUUGUGUUGGGAAUGGCCCACACAGGAACUGUUCUUUGCUUCUGGCCCCUGCUUCAGUGCAGACGCACUCUAUCCUGUUUCACAACACAGUGUUGAACAUAAUAUCCACUGCAGAGUAGAUGCUAAAACAUUGCUAAAACAAAAUAAGGAAAGAAUACCCCUAUAAAAAGCUGUGUAAAGUGUAUAAUGAGGCGGUUCAUCAAAAAACACAAAUGACAUAUCUCUAAAAGAUGCCCAACUUCAGUAAUAAAUAAGAAAUACAAACUAAGUAUCAUCUUUCAUGAGUUUGUCAAAGAGCUAAAGGUUUCCUAAUAGCUGAGGGCAGGGAAAUAGGCUCUUUCUUGGGCUGUGGCAGUAGCAGGGGAAGGGGCACAGCAUCUUUGGAGGGCAGUGUAGCAAUGUCUGUAAAAUGUAAACAGUGUACAAGCCAUCUGCCCUCCAGUUUAGAAUCUAUUCUCCAAAGAAACUCCAACAAAUAUGCAGAGAUGCAAGUAAAAGGCUGUUCAGUAGAGUUAUUUUUAAUAGAAAAAAACCCCCCAAAACCUAAAGAAAAGAAAACAAAACUGGAAACAAAUGCCCACCAAAAUGGGUCUACAUGAAUCCCAGUACAUCCAAGUCAUGGAAAACAUUUUUGCUGCUAAAAAGAAUGAGGAAGUCCCAGAUGCAUGGGGGUGGAAAGGUGCCCAGGGUAAACUAUGUCGUUAGGGGAGAACAGGGUGUGUGAUGUGAUGCUAUUUAUGUUGAAAAUGAAAUCUUACCAAAGUUAAGAUGGAGAUAAGUUGGGAAGAAGAAUUAGGGAAUCAGGAGAGUUCUAUUUUCAAUAAAUUAAUCUUCUUUACAAUUUGAUUUUUUAAAAUGAUGAACAUGUGCACUUUGUGAUUUUGUUUAUUCAUUUCAAUAUCCAAUAAUGCACAAAAAUUCAAAAGGCACAAGGUGGAGAUGUACAAUUCUGCAAUUCUCUCAGCUAUCUGAUACAGAAUUAAUUUAUUCCCAGCAUGCAUUUAGUGUAUUUCAAAGGAGGAGGAGGAGAAAUGAGCGGGAAAGGGCGGAGGACACAGGCAGCUGUUGCUCUGCGGUUGGCAGCUGUGGUCAGGUGUGGCAGUGGGCUGCCCUUUUUGGGGUCACUCUGUCCUUGGUUUCCUGGUGUCAGGCCUUCCUAACCCUUCUGAAGCUCAAGGGAAGGCCUUUGGUGAUGUGCUGCCCAUGGUUCCUGGCUGUGGUUUUUUUCUAGGUUUGUUCCUAUGUCUCAGGGCUUCAGACAGUGAGGCGCCGGAAUCCCCCAGGACUGUCCCCCUUCCUGCCAGUUUCCAGCCAGGCCUGCCUGGCAGAUGCCCAAACACUCAUUAGGUUAGACAGGUCUAUAGGCAAAUAUUUAUCCCUUGCAGCUGCAGGCUGUGAGGAGGCAGCAGGUGCGGGGCAGAGUCCUGUUUACCUAGCGCUGAGCCAGGCGGGCGCUGCCUGUUUGCUGAGCUCCCUACCUGGCCUGGCUCAGAAGGUUGGGCGAGCUCUGCCCUCUUCCUCACUCCGUCCCUCCUCCCUCCGCUGUGCUGUUCCAGAGCACUAGUUCUUCCCACCUCUUUCCUGGGCUGACUGCUGCUAAUUCCAUGUCUCAGCUUCAAUGCUCCCUCCUCAGGGCUCCCUGAUGACCCUCACUCCAGAGCAGUCAGGCACCCUGUGAGCAUUGCCGCGGCCCACAGUUCCCCAUCAUGAUAAUUACUUAUUUCCUGCACUUACCAGGUUAGUGUUUGUCUUCUGUGCUAGAAGCCAGAUGAGCAGAGAUGGGGAUAGUUUUGCUCACCACUGUUUCCCCAGCCCCUCCCAUAGGGCCUGGCACUCAGGAGGUGCUCCCCAAGUAUUUGAGUGUCAGCCUGAGUGAAGGCAGGCAGAGAGCCCUGCAUGGGCAAAGGCACAGAGGUGUGA